rnacentral:sRNA from 1 species
GCCGGUCAUGAUGUCGCAUGCCUGUAAUCCCAGUGGCUCAGGAGGCUGAGACGGGAGGAUCCUGAGUUCAGAGCCAGCCUCAGCAACUGUGAAGCACUAAGCAACUCAGGGAGACCCUGUCUCUA